rnacentral:rRNA from 1 species
GGGGCCCGCACAAGCGGUGGAGUAUGUGGUUUAAUUCGAUGCAACGCGAAGAACCUUACCUGGUCUUGACAUCCCGGAGACCCUUAGGAAACUAGGGGUGCUUCCAUCUGGAAGAAUCUGGAGACAGGUGCUGCAUGGCUGUCGUCAGCUCGUGUCGUGAGAUGUUGGGUUAAGUCCCGCAACGAGCGCAACCCUUGCCUUUAGUUGCCAGCAGUUCGGCUGGGCACUCUAAAGGGACUGCCGGUGUUAAACCGGAGGAAGGUGGGGAUGACGUCAAGUCCUCAUGGCCUUUAUGACCAGGGCUACACACGUACUACAAUGGCCGAUACAAAGGGCAGCGACACUGCGAGGUGAAGCCAAUCCCGUAAAAUCGGUCUCAGUCCGGAUUGGAGUCUGCAACUCGACUCCAUGAAGUUGGAAUCGCUAGUAAUCGUGGAUCAGCAUGCCACGGUGAAUACGUUCCCGGGCCUU